AUUGAACGCUGGCGGCAGGCCUAACACAUGCAAGUCGAGCGGAUGAAGGGAGCUUGCUCCUGGAUUCAGCGGCGGACGGGUGAGUAAUGCCUAGGAAUCUGCCUGGUAGUGGGGGAUAACGUCCGGAAACGGGCGCUAAUACCGCAUACGUCCUGAGGGAGAAAGUGGGGGAUCUUCGGACCUCACGCUAUCAGAUGAGCCUAGGUCGGAUUAGCUAGUUGGUGGGGUAAAGGCCUACCAAGGCGACGAUCCGUAACUGGUCUGAGAGGAUGAUCAGUCACCCUGGAACUGAGACACGGUCCAGACUCCUACGGGAGGCAGCAGUGGGGAAUAUUGGACAGUGGGCGAAAGCCUGAUCCAGCCAUGCCGCGUGUGUGAAGAAGGUCUUCGGAUUGUAAAGCACUUUAAGUUGGGAGGAAGGGCAGUAAGUUAAUACCUUGCUGUUUUGACGUUACCAACAGAAUAAGCACCGGCUAACUUCGUG
rnacentral:rRNA from 1 species